UACGUAGGUGGCAAGCGUUGUCCGGAUUUAUUGGGUUUAAAGGGUGCGUGGGCGGUUUUAUAAGUCAGUGGUGAAAUACAACAGCUUAACUGUUGAGGUGCCAUUGAUACUGUAAGACUUGAGUACAGACGAGGUAGGCGGAAUUGACGGUGUAGCGGUGAAAUGCUUAGAUAUCGUCAAGAACACCGAUAGCGAAGGCAGCUUACUAGACUGUAACUGACGCUGAGGCACGAAAGCGUGGGGAGCAAAAGGG
rnacentral:rRNA from 1 species